AUAAGGAAACUGAGGCACAAAGCGAAACUCCCCCCCGCGUAGUGGUUAGCAUGUGAAAGCUGUUGUGGAGAAUCUGACUUUUGGCCCCGGAGAACAGAACCAGGGGCAGGCGAAGCUGUGAAGGGGCAGACUGAGGAUGAGUGCUACAGGACAGCAGGCUGCUCUUGGAGGGCUGGCCCUCCACACCACACCAAAAGAGAUGACCUCAUUUGAAUCUCACUACAGCCAUCAUCCACACUUUGCACAUAAGGAAACUGAGGCACAAGGAGGAUGGACCCUGGAGGCCCUGACCCCAUGAUCUCAUCCCAAUGAGACCAAUUACAACUACACAGAGGAUGCAGUUGUUCUUUUCCUGAAGGAAGGAGGUUGCCUGCAGAGCACUCCUGAGGAAACUCCCAGCCUGGCUUGGGGAGGCCCUGCUGGCCUCCCUCCUGUUUCUGAGCCUGCCCUGCAAGGAAGGGCCUGCCAGGGCCUGCCGUGGAGCACCUACUCAGAACUGCAGAGGCUGACUGGAGCUCAGCCUGAGGAUGGAAAGUGUCGGGCCAUGGUCUGACACAAGGGAACCCCCCUGCCCCAUGGGGAGAGUAUCCCCAACAAUGGCUGCCCAAGGAGCCAAAGGCACUCAGAUAUUAAGGGAUUUGACUCGAGUGCACCUCAGAUGCAGGAUUUGGACCCUGCUUGUGUCCUGCCUUGGGAGGUGGUAAGCUGCCUGUGGCUGGAGGGAUGGGAUGAUAGUAUCUUGGGACAGUUAGGGGAGGUCCGGGAUAGGGGUGUGGGGUGGAACAGGAAUAAGCAUUUAUGUAGCCCAUACUGUGUGCCGAGCACUUUACAUAAACCACCUCGUUUGGCCCCUAUGAAGGA